CUGAUGUCAUCCUGAAGUGUUCUCAAUGUGUCAGUCUAGGCUGAAGAGCUCUAAUUAAAGUGUGCUGUUCAAGUCUUGUGAGUGUUAAAAGUAUCAAUUUGCACUCAAGUUUAUCUAUGUUUAAGAGACGAUUUGGAGUGUAUACUAAUAACUGUUUAAUUAAUCUUUUAGAUCAUAGAUGUCAAGCACAUUGAUAACAAAUUAUAAACAAGGGUCUAAACUACAUGUUUCCAAAUUAGCAUACCAGACUAUGAGAAGUUAUGUCAUUUGAAGAAAAAGGGCAAUGACUACACAGUGAACAAGGUCCCUUGUUUGAAAACCCGUUGGCUGCUACCUGUGAAUCUCCCUUUUUACUUUCUUAAACGAGCCCUCUUAAUUGAGGUAUUGAUUUUUGUCGCUACAAUCUUAUUGAAAAUGAUUGUCAUCCAAUUAAAUGUUCAUUCUGCUUACAGGGUAAUCCUUCGCUACUGAU